rnacentral:rRNA from 1 species
CAGCAGCAGCCGCGGGAAUACAGAGGGUGCGAGCGUUAAUCGGAUUUACUGGGCGUAAAGCGUGCGUAGGCGGCUUCUUAAGUCGGAUGUGAAAUCCCUGAGCUUAACUUAGGAAUUGCAUUCGAUACUGGGAAGCUAGAGUAUGGGAGAGGAUGGUAGAAUUCCAGGUGUAGCGGUGAAAUGCGUAGAGAUCUGGAGGAAUACCGAUGGCGAAGGCAGCCAUCUGGCCUAAUACUGACGCUGAGGUACGAAAGCAUGGGGAGCAAACAGGAUUAGAUACCCCCGUAGUCCCUGUCUCUUAUAA